UACGGAGGGUGCAAGCGUUGUUCGGAAUCACUGGGCGUAAAGCGCACGUAGGUGGACCUGUAAGUCAAUUGUGAAAUCCCAGGGCUUAACCUUGGAAUUGCAGCUGAAACUAUGAGUCUUGAAUGCCUGAGAGGGUGGGGGAAUUCCUGGAGGAGAAGUGAAAUUCGUAGAGAUCAGGAGGAACACCGGAGGCGAAAGCGCCUACCUGGCGGUGCAUUGACACUGAGGUGCGAAAGCGUGGGGAGCAAACAGG
rnacentral:rRNA from 1 species